GGACAUGGACCUGCACCCUCCUUUCCCUCGCUCUCCCCUUCCCCAGCCAUUUUCCUGUGGGGAAAUGACCCUUUAAAGAGGAAAGAGAGAAAAUGAGCAAACUGAGUUGUUCUGAGUGGUGCUACCUUUUAACAGCACUCUUAGCCCUUAAUAUUAAGCUCCUUUCCCUGGUGAAUUCUGGGCAUUCCUGUGUUUACCACACUAGGUUUGGAGUUUGAUACCAAAUUGAUCAUGUAUCUCUCAAUAUACAGUACAAAAAAACCUGGCGCCUUUGGCUAUUUAAAUGAAAUAUGUUUUUUUUUUUUUUCCUGAAAGGGAAAAGGAAGGCUGUAGGUACUGUACAGUGGAAAAAACAGCUCUUGUUGAAAAUGGUGGAGUACAUAUGUUUAAUCUAUUACCUGCACUUUUGCAAGCCCACAUCACUCUAAGAUAUUUUACAUUUUAUUUGCCAAAUAGGCCCUGCUUUUGUAAUUUCCUGGCUUAUCCUCUCACAAUUAGAAGUUAAGCACUGUUAUUUUUCUUCUUUUGUAUCUUUCUUGCCUCAAACUUGGGUACUAAACUCUGAGCCAUUUCUUGAAUGGCAGGUUCACAAAUGUGCCUUGCUGGUUAUAUGUUUAGACAUGAAGUAAAUGUAUUAUGGCACAGCUCUCAGCAAUUCUGACAGCAGGCUGGUAUUGGGGAGGGAUUGUUUGUACGAUUUAUUUUUUUAAUUUUUUUUUAACUUAUGGUAGGUCCUCAAGGCAUCACAGGUGCAGAAAUAAGUGCUGAUGACAUUUGUGCAUGUAAAAGUGCAUGGUUUCUCUGGUGAGGAUGUCUUGGGGGUAGAAGGAAACGUCGGCUCCAAGGGAGCCAUUUACAUUCAGGGCUCUGAAUGUGUGUUUGUCUUUUUAAGACUGUAAGGCUCAAGGAGUCAAAGUUUCUGUUUUACACAGAGUAAGAAGGAAAGGAAAGUUGGCUCCAAAAAUGCAUUGCACGCUUUGUGUCAAUGUUAAUAUUCCACAGCUAAAAUGAGAUAAUAUAUUUGUCUAGGUUGGUGUGUGCAUAAAGCCCAUAUAUCACACAUGGCACAGCGUGGAGGAUUUUCCCUGUGUCAGACACUGGGAGGUUGUAUGUGCGUGUGUAUAGAUAUAUGAAUGGGCUCAGACACAUGCUUUUUCCAUGCAUGUGGAAGAUAUGUCACACAUGAAUAAUUGCUCUGCAUUGUAACAUAAGCACAUACACAUACUUACAUACCCCGUUUGAAAAUAAAUAAAAGUCUACAUUGAUCUAAACCUAUCUGUACACGUCUGAGUAUGUGUGCAUCUGUGAUAAUGGGGACCAGUUACUCAUUUCAAAGGCUAUCCUAUUGUGAGCAGUGGCAGUUGUGCAAUUAAGGAAUAUUUAUUUCUUUCUAAGCCUUUGUUUAACUACUGUCUGAUAAAAGUCAGCAAUUAUACUGUACAUCAGAGAGAUGAUUAAAAAUUCACUUGCUUUCCUGCAGCUUGUAUCACAUGUGGUUGAUGUGGGUAAAAUUGGAGCACAUUAGUGGACAGACUAGCCAUUAACAACAUGCAGAGGAAGCUGGGGCUGAAAUUUGUUCCAAUUCUCCCCAUGUCCUCGAGCCAUUAAUUACAAGCCUUGCAAGUUUAAAAAUGGAAAUAAAUCAGGAUGCAGAACAGUUCUACAGUUCUGAGUGUUGUUUUAUGAGUUUCGUAAUCUCACCUUAUGAUGCAGUUGCCUCUUUCAGUGACUGGUGUUCUCAGCUGUAUUGAUAUUGGACUAGAAUUAUUCUGCCAGAAUCAAAGGGGCCAAUUUGUUUGCUAAUUUCAUUUGAAAGCGGAUUUAAAUGCAGGCACGUGUGUGGCAUUAGAUAUUCUGACUGUUGCCACAUUUGCUGUUCGAUAAGUUUGAUUUACCUUCCCAGUAGAACUUCAGCUAAUAAGGCCUUGUGUAACUGCAGGAUCUUCAGCACAGGUCAUUACCUUGUUAUAUGAGUCCAAUGUGGAGUUUUAUUAGACUUUUAAAUGUGAAUCUGAGCGGUCUAAACUCGGACCUGGGAUAAGCAGGUAUAUCAGCUUGGUAUGUCAUCCACUUGAAAGAGAUUUGAACUUGGCCAGAUGUGUCAAAACAGCUGUCUGUGGAUUUUUAAGAGGUUUGUUUUAUGGGUAAUUGAGUAUCUCAUUAUUUUUACAGAUGUAUUGCACAUUUUAGCCAAACCUCCUUUCACUCUCAGAAUUCCCUUAUUAAUUGACAGUGUGGGAAAUACAAAAAACUUGCACCGUUUUUAAUCCAUACUUAGUCUGUUUUUGUUUGAUUUUUAGAUAUGCCUAGACUAUUACAGCAGCCAGUAUCACAUUUUCAUGUUGAGUUGGAAAGUGUGAAAUUGUUACAUGAACACAAGCAUGUCGGUUUAGGACUACUAGGCCUUUCAGGAUUAACUAGAAAUAAUUUGUGCAACUUUAGCCUGUAACCUGGAAAGCUAUUUGUUUGAAUACAGUGUAAGUUAGUUAAGUAAUAAAGUAUAUGUGUACAAAUAAAAAUGUACCAGAGAGAAGAAGCUAAAAUCAGCAGCUAUAUGGAUAGAUAGGUUGUAGGUGGGUGCAAACCAAUUGGAAGUACACAUAUUUCUGCUCUGCAUUUGUCUCAUUCACUUAAUUCACUGUCAGACCGCCUUACCAAGGACUGUAGGACGUCUUCUACCAAUUUUAGCAAUUUCAAGAUCAAGAUUGGAUGUAUUUUGCUCAUUUAGACGAAUCAUUAUGGACCAGUUGUGUCCUUCACCGUUCAGGAAGCAAGGCUAGAGGACCACAGCUCUGCCCUGGCCUCAAAGUUUAAAACUGCACUCAGGUAACGUUCAGUGAUAUGACUGUGCUUUACUAAGCAAGGGGCUGAAGGGCUGCUGCUACAGGAGAAGUAAUAACUAAGGAUGAACUUGGGGAGCUCCCUCUCCUGUACAGCUUAAGACACACAGGACUUCUAGAAGUCUCCUGCAAACUGCUUUUCUUGUUGCUUUCCUCAUCCAUCCUUUUAGCCUGUAGGUCAUGCUUGCUUAUCACCAAAUUUGGCCUGGAUUGUGAAGUGCAUGAAAAAUAAUGCAUGCAAACUUGGCAUAUCAUACACUACUGUUUUGUUGCUACUGAAUUUUUACUAGAAGGUCUCGGUUGUGAAGCGUCAAGCCUCAGGGAAAAGUAGAGCUGGUUUUCACCCCCUUCUCCCUAUGGGGCAUUAUGAACUGCUGUAACCUUCCUCUUCAGAAGGCUGCACCCAAGGAAAAUCGUGUUGUUGCUAGAGUCAAACUUCUGCCAGGGCUGUAAGGAAUUGAGCAUUCCUGUACUACGCAUCUGUGGUCUCUGGCCUGGGGAAGACCACUGAAGGUAACUUGUAAGCCUGCAGGAAGGAGGACAAGCAGGUGGAGCAGGGCUGGGUUGAAUGCAAGGACUUUGCUCCUUCUGUUACAAUACUUGGCUGUACCCCUACGAGUUACGUGGCUCUCUGGUACUUAAGCUACCUUACAUUGCCAAAGGCAGCCUGGGAGAAGGCUGAGUGCCCUUCUCCCUGGCAGUCUCUUGGUGGCCGCCUCAGUAAUGCUGGGUGCACAGUUGCCCAGAAGGCUUGAUUUUUAUAAGUGGAAGCAGAGGAGAAGGAUGGGUGACUCAGGAGAAAGGAAGUCCCCUACUCGGUAGCUUAAAGUGGUUCCACUGUAGGCAAUUUUUCCAUUCCUAAAUAUGAACAGCCAGAGUUUGUAAUGUUACGAGUUCUUUUGUCCAGCUGAUUGACUGGAGAGGUACGUUUGAUCUUCCUUGUUUGGAAGAAGAGGCCUGAAAGGGAAAAAAUGGGUAUUCUCUGUCAAUUUACCUGAGUCCUACAGAAAUUUCCUAAUUUAAUGCUAUGUAGAGGAGGAGGGAGUAUGAGCUAGCAGGAGAAAGGAUAUCUUCCCUUUGCCUGCCACAGAGAUUAUCCAGCAGAGACUAGUUCUCGUGCCCUCCAUGAGCAGUGGUGCAAGAAGGAAAAAAAAAAUAAUUAAAAAAAAAGUGGAAAAGCCCUUUGGUUUGCUGGAGAAUGGCUGAUAACAUCAACCUUUCUGCUGUCAGCUUAAUACCUUGUUAGUAGUCUUCAGUGAUUUUUCAUAAAGGCUACUGUGCCUUUAAAUGAUUUGUGUAUGUGUCUGUGAGAAGACCCUAUUGUUCUAAUGUGAAAUGCCAACGGGGUUAUGUGUGCCGCAGUCUGUUCUGAUUGCCCUUCUCGUCAACACGAAGGAAUCGAUAAAGCCUUUUCUGCGAGGGGGAUGUGAAGUCAAGUAGAACCUCACAAAUAAUGACAUUUGAUUGUGGUCCUCUGAGCACAUGAGCUAGCCAUUGAUCGCUUCUGCUCGAGAGCCGAUGGAGACUUUCUGAUUCGCCCAUCUUCUGUGGUCCCUUCCAGACAGUUAACACAUUAGAAGCAAUUUUUGUUCAACAGGGUUGAAACUGGGGGUCACGGUUUCAGGUGUCUGGUCGUUCCGAGUUCCAGUUCGGGAGGCUGGGAAUUGCUGGGAAUUUCCAGGAGAGUGAGAAUUACUGCUUACCAGUGCUGUGGCAAAUGGCAAGAAACAACAUUGCUGGCUUUAAUUAGCUGGUGUUUUUCCCUCUCUCCUGCUGUCCAAUGUUAAUACAGUUCUGUUGUUGCUCUGGGUCUUGUGUGCUGGAAUGAGGAAACAUGACCAGGAGACAGAGCCCAGAUUUGCUGCGCCGCUAUCAGCAUCCGCAGUUGCCUGUCAAGUCAGGCUGAUCUGGGAUAGCGCCAGGGUGAUGAAUUGCCAAAAGGCUUACAUUAACGCGAGUGGUGAUUCCAUUGCUUGGCGAAGAGCCCACACUGGCAACCGGCUGUAUUUGUCUCAUGUCUAUAUUGACAUAGCAUCUGUGGUCUAUUUGCUCUGGAAAUUAAAGCAUAAGCUGUGCAACCAAUAGCCACUAGAUCUUACAAAGGGAAAAACAACAAUCCAGGUUGCACAGUUGCUGGGGAGAAGGGUAGACAGACGUGUUCCCUGAAAGGUUUACCUGAUGUGCAGGAAAUGUUUUCUUUGAAAAUAAUUGCUGGAAUUUCUCCUACAGCAAACAGGUCUGUGCAGUGGUAUGAAACACUAUGCCUGUGUAAGAGACCUGGCGCAUGAGCUGAGAUAUUUCUGUUUGCCAUCUGAUAGUCUUUUAUUGUCUCUCUUUGGAGGCACAGAGCUGACUCGUGCUCUAGGUAGGAUCUUCUGAUUUAGCUUUCAUGCUUUUAUAAUUGAGGAGAAAAAAUCCAAGAAUUUGCCUAAACAGAGGCAGUGACCUUUCCACUUUGUCUGAUUGGCGUUACCUGCAGACAUGCAUGUUACCUUUGAUAGUGUGUAGAGUAAAAUACUAGGGCUGUGCUUCUAACUGGCUAUUGAUCCUCUGCAUGUUGUUAUUAACGGUCUCAAACAAAUAGUUUUAAGGAAAUAAUAGCAGAUGAAGUGGUGGUUGAUUUGGGUUGUGUUAUCCUGGUGGAUAGGGCAAGCCUAUCUACCUUUUUGCUCUUCUUCCACAUAGGAUAACUUUAUUUUUGGGGUGAAGCUGCCGUCUGGAUCACCUGCUGGAAGUGCCAGGAGCUGAGCUGCUCCAUGUGGGUGUAGAUCAGCAGAGCUCCACUGCUGCCGGUGGAACUAUGUUGCUUUUGCUCCAGCUGAGAAUUUGGCACAUUUCUAUUUAUUGUUAAACUCUGCAGUGUUCACAUGGCUCUGUGGGCCAUGUUGUCAGAUCAUGCUUUUAAAAGAAAAAACACUUUGUUUAUUGAGGAGCAGGAAAUGAUCCAAAAUGGUGACAUGGUUUAAAAUUCUUUUCUGGUGGCCCUCACCAGUAGAGGCACCUGGAAGGAGCACUGUCCCCCUUUGCCAGUCUGGGUGUGCUUCAGCCGGUCCAGGACAGCAGAGCUACUUUCCAUUCUUCCCUGCCAAAGGGAAGUUUCUCCUCUCCUGUCAAAGACCUAUAUAAGGAGUUUUGGCAUGUCUCUUCGCCCCAAAUCCGAGCAGCACAUGUGACCGAAUUUGCAUGCUUUCCAAGCAACUAGAGCCCUUGUCCAGAUGUUCCAAUGUGUGGAUUGUCUUGUCUUUAAAUGCUUCUCAAAUCUCAAGCAGACUUUAUUUUGUAAUAGUUUUGCUCCAGAAAAGAAAAGCAAUUCAGACUAGAGGAUCCUAGAUUUUUGAUUUAUUGGUGUAGCUGAUUUUUCUCUUUACCUCUUAAGAACUGAAAAUGGCUUUGAGUUACAAAACAGAAUGAGAUAGAGCUUAGGGAGAAGUUAAAUAUUCUUUUCUGUCAAAUGAAAACUGUUUUACUGAGUCAAACUGAGCGGCAUUGACCACUGUCAUCAUACCUAUCAGCUUUCAAUGAAGAAAAGAGGCACAUGCGCGCGCGCACACACACACACACAUUUUAAUUAGAAAUAAUUAAUUUGCUGCACUAUGGCAUCAGAAUUCCCUCCCUUAGAGAGGUGACCUGUUCCUGGAGAGCUUUUGUGACAGCCUGAGAGUCCUCCUUCCCCCGUCCUCCGUUCAGCGUGGUGGCUGCCUCGGUGAGCCGGCUGCUCAGAAGAGGUGAAUCAUGCUAAGGUCCCUCAGCACGGGACUGGACGUGUGUCUGUGCGAGGAGUAAGUCCCUUUCCCGCGACCCGACGCAUGUGAGUGAACGCUGGAAGCAAUUGCAAGUUUAGGGCUGGCAAGCUGCGGAAAGCCCAGAUCUGGUUAACUAUCUGGUUUUCCACAAGUUUCAUGCGCUUUAGUCCUUGUUCACUCAUUUGCUGCCAGGCAGCCCGGCUCCGCACCGGGUUUGCUCACUCUUGCUUCUUGAUUGAGUUUAACCUCUAUAAUUUUAAGAAGCAGAUAAAAACAUUUUUCUCUAAAAAUGAGAGUCUUAAGGGACUGUGCUUAGUUCUGUAUCUGUUACCUUCUCACUUGCUUUCUGCUGGCCCAAUGCAUUAGCAAUUUUACUUGUGUUCUCUCUUUCCCCAUUAGUUUUAUGCCGUGCUCAUUUCCGUGAAUUAUGAGAGAAUCCUCUAGUUGUUUCCUCAGUAUUUUAAUUACUGUUAUGCUGGACAGUGCCUUAAUCACAGAUGUGAGGAUGUGAUUUUAGCACAUAUGUUUUGCUCAUUUGUUAAUGAUCAAGUAGAAAAUAUGUCAAGCUGUCUCUGCAGGUUGAAUAUUGGUGGUCACAUAGUACAUCAAAAUAAUAAUAGUCAGUUUUAUUUGUGGAGAUAAAGCUGAAAAGCCUUAGAAAUUUACGUGGUGCUUUCAGCCACAUUUUAAGAGUGUUAUUUAUCAAUGUCAUAAAACAGUAUGUUUGAAAAUUGUGGUUUUUCCCCAAUAGGCUACUUUUGAAGAGGGCAUUGACUAGAUUAGAAAGACAGAUACCUUUUGGCUGGUGGCAUCAGGCGAGGCCGUCACAGCCCUUUCUUAGGAACCUUUGGGACGUUACCGAGACGACGUUCCGGAGUCUCUGCUACAAGGAUUUUACAAAAAGCAAAAGAUAAAUUGUAAACAGAGGAGUGUAUAAACAAAUGCCCAAGAGACUAAAAUCUUCUUUCAAACUAAAGCAUUUGCAGCAGAAGAGUAUUGUACCAAUUAGCAGGCUCUUAAUUAAAUAGCUUGUUUGAUUUGCAUCCAAAUUAUAAUUUGGAUGUUAUGUCAGCUUUGAUACCUUUUCAUUAACUGUUCCUUUUGAAAAAAAAUCUAUUUUUCACUCUGUGUUUCAGAGGUCUGUGGCAUCAGAAGGUGGAAAGGUCAAUCAUUUUUGUAUCCAUUUAAAGUCCAUUAUUGGUAGGCCACUACAACCUAUCAAGCAACUCUCUUAUUUUUCCAGUCAGUGAUUCAGGAAUCUAUAGCUCUGUGCAGAUAAAUGGGAUUUCAUGGGCUUCUAACCUUCUUGCUUUAUUGAAAAGCAGCAUAUUAACUGCUCCACUGACCAGCUGUCCAUUAAAAACACAGGAUAUUUUUAGAAAAUUGUUUGCCAAUCAAAUCCGACCAACAUCUGUAGAGAGCUUUUCAGUUUGUUUGUUUUGUAAGCAAAUGCUACAGCUGCUUUCCCACCUCCAUUUAAAUAUUCCUAUUUACCUUCUCUCCAUGUCUCUGUCCAUGUCUCGGGGCUUUCUGAGGUACUGUAAGUAGCACGGCAUGUUAGCUGGAAUUGUAAAACCGGGGUUUAACAAGUCCAUUAGGUGCUAGUCCUUGCUGGUCGAUGGGGCCCCCUGCUUUAUUUUCUCUUCAGCGAAAUUAGCGUUUUAAAUUUUUUGCUGUUCCCAGGGCUAAAUGGGUUCCGUUAGCCAGCAAGGCAGCAGGCCAGGCUCUAGGUGAUUAGGGAGUUUGACAUCUGGCUAAUAAUUGGCUGGAGUUUGGGAGACACAGCCUGGCACGGCAUGCAAAGGCGCAGAUGCAGAGCACUCGCUGCUCUGGACUGCUGAACAGACGGCUCUGCCUGUCCCUCGAGUGGCCACCGAGCACUUCGAGUGGCCACCGAGCACUUCAACCCGUUGCUGCUAGCAAAUGGAGUGUCCCCGUACUUGUGGCCUUCCCACCACUACUGCUGCCAGGGAAAUCCCGACUUCUGACCCCAUAGACUUGAAUGUUAGUCACAGGAACGUUCCCAGGCCUAGCACAGUCCUUCCAGCCCAGCUGUCGUUCCCAGUGAAAUAGGUCCUUCAGGUCUGAUGUCAGAUGCUGUGAGCACACGGAGUUUCUAGGGAGGCUAAUGGGUGCCCGUGGCCUCGCAGGAUUGUGUCCCUCAGUUGUGCUGGAUGAUUCCCUGUGACUGCUGCUUUUAGAUCAGCUGCCAAGUGAUCAGAACCUCUCUGUGCAUUUCGGAGCUAUAGAAAGCAAACAGAGAAGAUACUUUCCACAGACAGAAUUCCUAUGAUUAAAUGGUUUCAACUUUCUUUUGUUUGGCAUUUCAUUUUAAUGAAUAUUUUAUAAAGAUUACUUUUUAAUGAGGCAAAAAUCUAAGGCCUGCUUCAGCUUUUUUGCAGUAGCAGCACUGUCACCUUAUUUUACCCCAUCAGAUCAGAAUCCAUUUUGCAGACUAAAGCCAACUCCCUGGUU